UGCCCUAGUAACGGCGAGUGAAGCGGCAACAGCUCAAAUUUGAAAUCUGGCGCAAGCCCGAGUUGUAAUUUGUAGAGGAUGCUUCUGGGUAGCGACCGAUCUAAGUUCCUUGGAACAGGACGUCAUAGAGGGUGAGAAUCCCGUAUGUGACCGGCCCGCACCCUUUACGUAGCUCCUUCGACGAGUCGAGUUGUUUGGGAAUGCAGCUCUAAAUGGGAGGUAAAUUUCUUCUAAAGCUAAAUACCGGCCAGAGACCGAUAGCGCACAAGUAGAGUGAUCGAAAGAUGAAAAGUACUUUGGAAAGAGAGUUAAAAAGCACGUGAAAUUGUUGAAAGGGAAGCGCCUGCAACCAGACUUCGCGGCAGUGUUCCGCCGGUCGUCUGACCGGUUCAUUCUCUGUCGCGAGGCCAUCAUCGUCUGGGCCCGCCGGAUAAGACCUUAGGAAUGUAGCUCACCUUCGGGGGAGUGUUAUAGCCUAGGGUGAUGCGGCGAGGCUCGGGCGAGGUCCGCGCUUCGGCAAGGAUGAUGGCGUAAUGGUUGUCGGCGGCCCGUCUUGAAACACGGACCAAGGAGUCUAACAUCUAUGCGAGUGUUCGGGUGUCAAACCCCUACGCGUAAUGAAAGUGAACGGAGGUGGGAACCGCAAGGUGCACCAUCGACCGAUCCUGAUGUCCUCGGAUGGAUUUGAGUAAGAGCAUAGCUGUUGGGACCCGAAAGAUGGUGAACUAUGCCUGAAUAGGGUGAAGCCAGAGGAAACUCUGGUGGAGGCUCGCAGCGGUUCUGACGUGCAAAUCGAUCGUCAA
rnacentral:rRNA from 1 species